rnacentral:rRNA from 1 species
UACAGAGGGUGCAAGCGUUAAUCGGAAUUACUGGGCGUAAAGGGCGCGUAGGCGGAUAGUUAAGUGAGAUGUGAAAUCCCUGGGCUUAACCUAGGAACUGCAUCUGAAACUGGCUGUCUGGAGUGCGGUAGAGGGUAGUGGAAUUUCCGGUGUAGCGGUGAAAUGCGUAGAUAUCAGGAGGAACACCGGUGGUGUAGACGGCUUUCUGGACCGUAACUGACGCUGAGACACGAAAAGCGUGGGGAGCGAACAGG